rnacentral:rRNA from 1 species
AAGAAGGCCUUCGGGUUGUAAAGCACUUUCAGUAGGGAGGAAAGGUAGGGGGUUAAUACGAUGUUGCUGUGACGUUACCUACAGAAGAAGGACCGGCUAACUCCGUGCCAGCAGCCGCGAUAAUAG